rnacentral:rRNA from 1 species
GACGAACCGUGCGAACGUUAUUCGGAAUCACUGGGCUUAAAGCGCGUGUAGGCGGGCCACCACGUCGGCCGUUGAAAGCCCCCGGCUCAACCGGGGAACCGGCGCCGAUACGAGUGGCCUGGAGGGGGGUAGGGGGACCUGGAACUUCCGGUGGAGCGGUGAAAUGCGUUGAGAUCGGAAGGAACGCCCGUGGCGAAAGCGAGGUCCUGGACCCCAUCUGACGCUGAGACGCGAAAGCCAGGGGAGCGAACGGG